rnacentral:lncRNA from 1 species
UCUGGAUAUUAAAAACCAUUGCUAGAUGGUAUCUCAAUUAGUGUAGGAAUUGGUUCCUGUGCUACCGGCUUAGUGUUUGAACCUAUGGAGUCACGUACACAAGUCAGACAAAGUAGGAAGGAUAUGACCUAUGUUUAUAUGUCCAAUCUAGAAGUACUUGACUUGAUUGAACAUAUAAGCUAACUUGAUUGAGAAUUGAGUUAUGGGUCAAAUGAGAUUGAAGAGUUGACUAUGUCUAGCUAGCACUAUACAUAAGAUUUAGGUUCAAUCCCGAGGAUGAAUAAUUUCUAUCUAUGAUCC